rnacentral:rRNA from 1 species
UACGUAGGGUGCGAGCGUUAAUCGGAAUUACUGGGCGUAAAGCGUGCGCAGGCGGUUAUAUAAGACAGAGGUGAAAUCCCCGGGCUCAACCUGGGAAUUGCGAUGGAGACUGCAAGGCUAGAAUCUGGCAGAGGGGGGUAGAAUUCCACGUGUAGCAGUGAAAUGCGUAGAGAUGUGGAGGAACACCGAUGGCGAAGGCAGCCCCCUGGGUCAAGAUUGACGCUCAUGCACGAAAGCGUGGGGAGCAAACAGG